UGCACAUCCCGGGAGUGAGGAAAAAAUCAGAAAUCUACCGGUCCGUUCGUUGCUUGCAAUCCACCCUUUUUCUUUGUCCGUUCACGGGCAGGGUGAGCUGUUAUUUCUCAGCGAACUCGCUGUUCGUGAUGUCUGGCGGGUAACAUCUCAACUAGAGCCAUAGUCAGUAGUUGCAGUGACCUUGUACUUUGAGGAGUCGCGGUAUCAUUCUGGCGUCUAGAUUUUUUCAGAAGAUUGGAUUAUUGGUGACCUGCCACACAUUCAGGAACUGGAGAACUCUUUUCCGCCUGGUCUGUGUGUUGAUGAUACUCGCCUCUUCAUUUUUUACCGCUACUGCAGGUUCUACCGCACACCGUUCAGGUUACGAAAUUAUGGUGGUGACCCUUGUGCCCGACGGAGACUGCGGCAGACUGUCAUUUGGCUGUGCUUUUUUGCCCUGAGGACAAACCAAAGCUGCAUCCCCUUUAAAC
rnacentral:lncRNA from 1 species